UACGUAGGUGGCAAGCGUUGUCCGGAUUUACUGGGCGUAAAGGGCGCGUAGGCGGGUGCUCAAGUCUGUGGUGAAAUCCUCCAGCUUAACUGGAGAACUGCCAUGGAUACUGGGUGUCUCGAGGAACGUAGGGGUAUGCGGAACGAUUGGUGGAGCGGUGAAAUGCGUUGAUAUCAAUCGGAACUCCGGUGGCGAAGGCGGCAUACUGGACGUUUUCUGACGCUGAGGCGCGAAAGCCAGGGGAGCAAACGGG
rnacentral:rRNA from 1 species